rnacentral:misc_RNA from 1 species
GGGUCGAUGAAGAACGCAGCCAGCUGCGUGAAGUAAUGUGAAUUGCAGGACACAUUGAACAUCGAUAUCUUGAACGCAUAUUGCGGCCUCGGGCAUUCUCGAGGCCACGCCUGUCUCAGGGUCGGUUGAAUGUAUCUAUCGAGAGUCGUCUCAAAUUUUACAAGCUCUCGCAGUGGAUCGUCGCGGCACGUCGUCGUCUACACAUCGACGAGCCACGUCGUCUCAAAUACAGACGGUUCGCACAACUGGCGAAUCCGCACGUCUCGAUCCGUUCAUCAUUGGUGGUGAGUACACAGCAGCGAGACGGUUGCUCGGAUGCACUUUGUUUCGAAAUGACUGUCGUCGGCUGCGUGCUCUGCUGCGAAGAAGAACGGAGUCUGCGGAUUUCAUCAUCGCUGCGUGCGUUCAUUGACGAAGCGGUAUCAUCAUAUCGUAUCUUCGACCUGAGAUCAGACGAGAUUACCCGCUGAAUUUAAGCAUAU